rnacentral:lncRNA from 1 species
UAAAUUCACUUCGUAUGUUAUUUGUUCUGAAAGAAAAAGUUCUGCAGAAGAUAAGACAACCGGGAUUGUCUCACUGCUUUAAAACGAGGCAAUGAAUGUUAUUCUUGUGUGCUUACAACAGAAAUUGGAAUGGGAGGUGUUGUAUGUUGUUCUGAGAAAC